UUUAAACGAGGCAAACAUUGUCUGUCCUUUUCGUAUUACCUUGGUAAGAAAAAGAUACGAAUACUCCAAAAUUUACUUACGACCAGAAUCAGUAU